rnacentral:rRNA from 1 species
AUUGAACGCUGGCGGCAUGCCUUACACAUGCAAGUCGAACGGCAGCACGGGAGCAAUCCUGGUGGCGAGUGGCGAACGGGUGAGUAAAGUAUCGGAACGUGCCCAGUCGUGGGGGAUAACGUAGCGAAAGUUACGCUAAUACCGCAUACGAUCUACGGAUGAAAGCGGGGGAUCGCAAGACCUCGCGCGAUUGGAGCGGCUGAUAUCAGAUUAGGUAGUUGGUGGGGUAAAGGCUCACAAAGCCGACGAUCUGUAGCGGGUCUGUGAGGACGACCAGCCACACUGGGACUGAGACACGGCCCAGACUCCUACGGGAGGCAGGAGUGGGGAAUUUUGGACAAUGGGCGCAAGCCUGAUCCAGCCAUGCCGCGUGCAGGAUGAAGGCCUUCGGGUUGUAAACUGCUUUUGUACGGAACGAAAAGGUUUGGCCUAAUAAGCUGGACCCAUGACGGUACCGUAAGAAUAAGCACCGGCUAACUACGUGCCAGCAGCCGCCGUAA